GCUGGGCACAGUGGUGCAUGCCUGUAAUCCCAGCAGCUCGGGAGGCUGAGGCAGGAGGAUCAUGAGUUCAAAGCCAGCCUUAGCAAUAUCGAGGUAUUAAGCAACUCAGUGAGACCCUGUCUCUA
rnacentral:sRNA from 1 species